rnacentral:rRNA from 1 species
UACGUAUGGUGCAAGCGUUAUCCGGAUUUACUGGGUGUAAAGGGAGCGUAGACGGAGAGGUAAGUCUGAUGUGAAAACCCGGGGCUCAACCCCGGGACUGCAUUGGAAACUGUUUUUCUAGAGUGUCGGAGAGGUAAGUGGAAUUCCUAGUGUAGCGGUGAAAUGCGUAGAUAUUAGGAGGAACACCAGUGGCGAAGGCGGCUUACUGGACGAUGACUGACGUUGAGGCUCGAAAGCGUGGGGAGCAAACAGG